rnacentral:rRNA from 1 species
GACGAACCGUGCGAACGUUAUUCGGAAUCACUGGGCUUAAAGCGCGUGUAGGCGGGUGGGAACGUCGGCCGCUGAAAUCCCCCGGCUCAACCGGGGAAGGGGCGCCGAAACGGCCCGCCUGGAGGGACGUAGGGGGGAGCUGGAACUUCCGGUGGAGCGGUGAAAUGCGUUGAGAUCGGAAGGAACGCCCGUGGCGAAAGCGAGCUCCUGGACGUUUUCUGACGCUGAGACGCGAAAGCCAGGGGAGCGAACGGG